rnacentral:rRNA from 1 species
CUCAGAGUGAACGCUGGCGGCAGGCCUAAUACAUGCAAGUCGAACGGCAGCACAGUGGAGCUUGCUCCAUGGGUGGCGAGUGGCGGACGGGUGAGGAAUACAUGGGAAUCUGCCCAGUCGUGGGGGAUAACGUAGGGAAACUUACGCUAAUACCGCAUGCGCCCUUCGGGGGAAAGCCGGGGACCGUAAGGCCUGGCGCGAUUGGAUGAGCCCAUGUCGGAUUAGCUAGUUGGCGGGGUAAAGGCCCACCAAGGCGACGAUCCGUAGCUGGUCUGAGAGGAUGAUCAGCCACACUGGAACUGAGACACGGUCCAGACUCCUACGGGAGGCAGCAGUAGGGAAUAUUGGACAAUGGGCGCAAGCCUGAUCCAGCCAUGCCGCGUGAGUGAAGAAGGCCCUCGGGUUGUAAAGCUCUUUUGUCCGGAAAGAAAAGCGCCGGGUUAAUACCCUGGUGUCCUGACGGUACCGGAAGAAUAAGCACCGGCUAACUUCGUG